AAUAAGAGUAAUUUUACACUGUAUAUAUUCAACAUUUAACUAUUAUUUUAUUUGAUAUUCUUUUAUGAUUACUAUUUUUAUUGUUAUUUGAUGAUAAAACAGGAAUAAUAUUUUACGUGUGACUGAUUUUUUAAAUUUUUUAUAAAGUUUUUAAAUAAGACAGACGGUUAAAUGUUAAAUAUGGAUAGCAUUGGCUGUACUUAUU
rnacentral:pre_miRNA from 1 species